rnacentral:lncRNA from 1 species
UUGCCUCAUCAUCUUCUCCCCAACAGUACAUCUUUUGAAAGAUAAAUUUAAAGAUUGGAUCAAAGCAGGGAGAGAGCAAACUGUAGAGUUUUUAAAAUGGCAAGAACAAGUUACUGUGCAAAUGCCUUUUCAAGCAAAUUCUACAACAGGGCAGAUAAAAUUAGAGGUACAAAUAUAAUCAAUUCACCCCGCCAUUAACACGGGAGAUUAUCAAACUAACUGACAAAAACAACAUCAGAAAACAAGCAAGCACCACUGCACCAAAAGGAGUACCGAAUAAUGACAUAAUUCAUCACGACAUCACGAGACCCCUGUUGCCUCCAAGUUUGUCACCUAUCUUGUUGACGAAUGUAGCCUUGUACAUAUUGAACCACACACUCUUAAUGAGCUGCAUCACUGGGGGUCACCCUUUCUGUAAACAUAGAUUUGUGAGAUUCCAAAAGGGGAAUUACAUGAUACUGUAUAAAUUGCCAAUUAAGUAAGUUGUAAUCACACAGCACUAAAAGUUUGCCCGGGCCCAUUUCAAACAUAACUUUCAAUCCGAUUAGGCAUUCAAUGUUUUGUUUGUUCCACUAACUUAUAUGGAGUAUUAUUUAAGAGUUGUUCCCAAAUCACAAAAGAAAGGACACAGAGAUACAAAUAUACCUUGUGGAUUGUAGAAACAUUUCAGCUUCUUCCGAUUCAGAUUCAAGAUCUUCUUCAGAUUCAUAUUCAAGAUCUUCGUAAGAUUCAGAUUCAAGAUCUUCUUCAGAUUCAGAUUCAAGAUCUUCGUCCGAUUCAGAUUCAAGAUCAUCUUCCCCAGCCUGAGCUCGCACCUCCGCUGAUGAUCCCUCCAGCAGAUUCUUCUUAUCGCCAUCAUUCCGCAAAC